rnacentral:rRNA from 1 species
UGCCAGCCGCCGCGGUAAUACGUAGGGUGCGAGCGUUGUCCGGAAUUACUGGGCGUAAAGAGCUCGUAGGCGGUUUGUCACGUCGUCUGUGAAAUCCUAGGGCUUAACCCUGGACGUGCAGGCGAUACGGGCUGACUUGAGUACUACAGGGGAGACUGGAAUUUCUGGUGUAGCGGUGGAAUGCACAGAUAUCAGGAAGAACACCGAUGGCGAAGGCAGGUCUCUGGGUAGUAACUGACGCUGAGGAGCGAAAGCAUGGGUAGCGAACAGGAUUAGAUA